AUUUCGGUGAGUUACGUGUUCGGAAAUGAAACGGAGGUGCCAAAGGAUGUAGAAGCGAUGAAGAAUGACUUUAGUCCCGCUCUGUAUACCAGAUUUGGAUCCACACCACAAGAAUACGACCCGUUCGCUGUAAAAAAAAUUAUAUCGAUACCAUACAAUGGGACAUACAAUGGCACGCGUAAAGGUAUCUUUGACUGGCUCUUUGGAUGGGGAUUUGAUGAAAUGUGGGGCUACGAGCCAUACGCCAAUAUGAACCAUAAGGGUCAAGUGUGCCUGUACAUGCAAGUCACCUAUAAGAACGCAAUAAAAGAAAUAAAGAACUACUACAACCUACGAGCAUUGUACACAGAGAAUAAAGAAUACGAAAUUGGCUACUUAACACACGAAAUAAUAUUCCGAUACCAGAUAAUGCUAGAAUUGUAUAAUUUUAUUGAGAAGCGGUAUUACAAAAAUCUAACGACAAAUGUGGCACCUGUCAGUUUGAUGUUAUACUUCUA